GACCUUCACAUUUGCAAUUUGAAUCAACAUAUGAAUUUCAUUAUUGUUUAAAAGGGGCCAAUUAUGUGAAAGUAUGAAGUAAUGUUUGACCAGAAAAUAUAAGAUAAUUGCAUGGUUAUACCUAUUGCUGCUACUGAUACUAUAUGUCUUUUUUUCUCUCGAACGUGCAGGAGAGCUGUGCAUCAAUAUAUUAAGAAGAAAAUGGGGAUAAAGAACCUCAGAAUGUUACAGAUAUAAAGGGCCUGUAACCCACCCUUCUUACUGAAUAGCUAACUUACUCUUAAGACCAAAAACAACAAGACUGGGAACACUAGACCGAAAGACCUAAGUGACUGUAGUUACUAGGGUGAGGAGGAGCUAUGUGGCCUAUAGUGCCACGAACCCCCGUCGUGACUGUGUUCCUCCCUAUGUCCACCAUCUUCGCCAACCCAAAAUCUCCUACAACUGCUUCACAGUUCCCAUCAAGCAGGACAUUGGCAGCCUUCACAUCACGGUGGAUGAUCUUGGGAUUACAGUGCUCAUGAAGGAUCGGUGCUUGACUGUUGCGUCACCGAAAGAAGCGUAUGAGAUGGGAGGACAGAAAUGCUCAGAGAAGAACUCUGAUACUAUCCUCAACUGGAAGCAAGAUGGAAUGAUACCUGAACAUGCCAAGGAUUUACUUCAGCAUAAGAUUAAGGUUAUUGAAAUUAUGUCUACAGUUAGAAGAACUAUGGUGCUGGUGGAAGCUUUCGCUUACCAAAGAAGGUAGUGUUUGCCUGUUUGGUAUUGUUUUGGGCAAGAACCAAAGCUACCGUACUUUUCAAAGAAAAAAGAAAGAACCAAAGCUACCUAUCCAUCCUGAAGUGUCUCUUCUUCCCAAGUAAACCUCCCGUUUUCCCCCACGCCACCAACAGCCAUUAUUCCACAAAAGGCAAGCAAGAGACACAGACUAUAAACCCUCAGAGGUCAGAAGCAGGAAACCAUUCUAAUGGAGAGCAAGCAAUCCAGUCAAGCAAACAGAUGCCCAAGGAAGACGAUGACAAGGACGACGACGACCAAGAAGUCAUACAGGCGGUACUUGUAUGUGAGCAUGCAAGGAAGGUAGGCAAGAACUUACCAAGAAGCAGGGGAGAACUGGAGGUGUGUCAAGCAAGUGGUGUGCUCCAAGCUUCUGAGAACUUUCUCUCUUUCUGCUGUCUCCCGGGAUGGUCGCUGGCUGAGCUUGGGAGAGGGGAGAAGAGCAGCUUCUCAGCACUGAGAGGAGCUGAGGAACAAGUGUGGAGCUAGUGGCUCCCGGACCAUUGAAUGGGUCAAAUAUAUCACAGCUCUCCCCCAUCCAGCAUCCAGACCCCACACGACUAUUGUGAGAUUGCACUCUGAAGAGUAACUACGUGGAUGCAACCGUGCCAGAGAUUUUCUUAAUACAGGUCAGAUUACUGGAGCAAGUGAAUGAGCUGCCUGGUAAAUAUAUUUCUUGAAUAAAAUUAGUGAUACUGUCAGUCUCACUGUACCUGCUGAUGCUGCUCCUGCUGAGCCAUUUAUUCCCUGAUAGUGAAACGACAAUGCGUGGAUGACAAAUCACAGGUCGUCAGUCCUCUGCUCUGCGUAUUU